rnacentral:rRNA from 1 species
AUGGCCGCCGCCGCCGCGUUCUCCAUCAGGGAGUACGCGGCGAGCGUGAGGGGCAAGCCAGCGGCGGAGGGGCGGCGUCUCUUGGGAAUCGAGGAUCUGCCGCCUCUCGGGGCGCCGAGGUGCCGGUGGUGGGCGGAUGAGCUGGCCUCCACCGUGGCUGCCGCAGCUGCGGCGGCGUCCGCGAGGAGGGCGCCAGGGAAGGCGAGGCCGCCGAAGAAGCGGUCCAUCUCCGACCUCUUCGCCGCGGCGCCCCCCUUGCCCGUGCCCCCGGCCGGUGAUACCGGGUGCAAAGAGCAAACGGAGGUGGACGGCGACGAGGCGCUGUGCGCGAUCGCGAGGCGGGCCAAGGAGGAGAAGAAACGAAAGAGAAAGCUGCAAGAAGAGGAGGGGCAGAAGGAGGAGACGGCGGCAGUGGAUGCCGCGCCGGAGAGCAGCCGAGGCCGAGAGCCCGAGGGGAAUUUCGCUGCAAGAAAGGAAGCACUUGAAAAUCCAAACCUGUUUGAUGGACUGGAUACUAACUCAUUACAGAAACCUGAGGCUUCACAACAUCACAGAGAAGAGAGAGAAAAGAUAUCUGAGAGAAGGAAGCAUGGGAAGAUCAAUAAUAUAAAUAAGAAGAAGGCUAACACACAAAAGCACAUCGGCAACAUGAAAAUGGUCAAGGAGAAACGUGGCAAUUCAGAAGGCCAGGAAGUAAUAGAACUCUGCCGCAAAUCAGUGAGACGUGUCAAAUUCUCAGAAGCAGAUGCUAUACUUGAGCUACCAGAACGACAAAGUCUCUGCAAGAUGUUUUCAGAUGCUAUGGCUUCUUCAUCGUCAUCCUCGUCAUCAUCAUCAUCAUUCACGUCUACCGAAGGAGACAAAUGCAUAACUGCAGAAAGUGGUAGUUCUCAUAUGCCCAUGGAAGCUUCCACUAAGUCAGAAGCAAAUAAGAAUUCAGAUCAUGAGGAUUCUCCUGACAAAAGCAUAACUGCAGAAAGUGGUACUUCUCAUAUUCCCAUGGAAGCUUUCACUAAGACGAAAGAAGCAAAUAAGAAUUCAGAUCAUGAGGAUUCUCCUGAGGCUGGUAACAAAGAGAUGUCAGCUCCUCUCAUUGAUCUGAAUAUGGCGUUACCGGAAUCUACUGAACUGGACCAAAGGCUAGAAAGCAAACAAUCUACUGCUGACUUGGAAAGAAUAACGAAUUCAAGUUCGGCAGGCACAUUAUUGCAUGGACUGACAGUUCGUUUGAUGGGUAAAGAUCUUCCAGUUUGCACGACCAGAGCUGAAUCGAUUUCCGAGACUGCGCAGAAGCAUACAGGAUACUUCAUGCUUCAACAUAUCAUGCAAGCCCAAGUCAGGCAUGGACUACACAUGAUUACGGCCACCCUGUUCCAGCAGCUAAUGUACUUUCUGGAGAUCAGUUGCCAUAUGAAAACAGAUGGCAUCAAUCUUGACGACAUGCGUGGAUGGUGGAUUAAGCACCAGUACAUCCCAACUCCGGUCCUCCACCGGCCGCUCACCACGACGGAGACCGACGCAUGGCGUCUCCACUGCAAGAAUGCCAUGGUGCACCGGCUCACCAUCGAGCAGUUGGAGCGCAAGACUGUGGCGGAUGAGACGACUAAAGCCAAGGCCGCUUGGCUGGCGAAGGAGCAACAAUGUCUGGUCCAUCCGCUGACCGGCAUCAUCUCCUCCUCCGAUGACUCCGUCGGCACCGCCCUCCGCCGCCAAUGCCUACACGGAUGGGUACAGUCGCACCGGGACCGCAAGAGGAAAGGGCUAGCGAGGAAAUGGUGA